UGAAUGGGCAAAAAAUAGUUU
rnacentral:piRNA from 1 species